rnacentral:lncRNA from 1 species
AACACUAAUUAACCAUGUAUAAAUAUCCUAAUGCGCGGAAAACACUUUGGUCAAGUGUUAGGAGGCUAUCGGGUUGCAACAAGAGAGUGCAAGACCUCAUACAUGAGUUUAUAGUCUAAAGAUGAUGUGUGAUGGAGUUUACGGCCCAGGGGAGUAAACUCCUGGCCGUAAACUCUCUAUUGGGUCACUAAAUGAAGCUUAAAGUUAUUACAACUUAAGUGGUGAAGUGCUUCAAGGCUUACUAGAGUGUUAGGGCUUCCUUUUAACUCCUUUGAGGAGUUCACGGCCUUGGGAACAUAUCCCUUGGAGAUUAUGGUCGUAAUCUCCCUUGGUAGGGUGCUUGUGGUGUUUUCAAGUCCCUAAUUUAACUAGGAACUAAACUAUGCUAGUGUAGAAGGCUUUAGAAGAGUUUAUAGCACCAUUUGGCACUAUUUUUUGGAGUUCACGGCCCUGGAACUUCUUGGGCCAUGAACACCUUACUCUUGGUGUUCUGAUGGUGUUUUCUAGCCCUAAACUCAUUAGGGUACAUGUCCAAAUUAGUCUCUUGGCUUAAGGAAGGCUUUUAGGGUGUUUUGGCAUCUAAAAAUGGAGUUCACGACCAAAGAACAUCAUUGGCCGUGAACUCACUUUCAACCCUUGAUUCUUGAUGUUUUGGAUGCCUAAACCAGCUAUGGGUAGUCUCAAGGUUCAUUUCCAAGGUUUGGAGGGACAUUGGGCACACUUUGGCCCUUAUAAAAGAGUUUACUCUCCAAGUGUUCUUGGGCGGUAAACUCUCAAAUCUUGCGGUUUUGAUCUGAUUUUGAUGUUAUUAGGCACAAUAUAAGCUAUAUAUUACAACUAGAUAGGAGUACUCACGAUUUGGGAUGAAAACCCGAAGAUCCGUGAGAGAGAAUUUGACUUUUCUCUAGUUGGAAAUGUAACUAAUAAAUAAAUAUGGUUCAUAUUUCUAUAUAUAGUCCUGGGAUUUUUGGCAGAAAAUAUUUCAUUCCCGGAAUGAACUCUAAUAUCAUAGAGUUUUGGAAUAAUAGUGUCGCAUAAAACCCUAGUGCAUCCGCUCUCCUGAUAUCUCCUUAAGUGCAAAUCCUGAAAUACUCAAACUUAUACCCAAAGUCUGGAAUUUCACUGUAACUGUUCUAACUUCUAUUGACUUCAUAUGGUUUGUUCAGAAUGGAAAGUUCGGUUUGUCACAUCAUCCCCCUGUUAAAGGGAAUUUCGUCCCGAAAUUAGAAUUUAGGCAAGGAAGUAGGUACGAAUGAUCGAAUCAUGAUUUGGGGACUUCCUAAUCGAUUGGUUCUCGCGCUCCUAAGUGAAAUCGGCUCCUCGGUUGGUAUCCCAACGAACCUUCACUAACGGGCGUCUGUGUUGCUUCGUCUGCUUGACCUUUAUUCCUAGGGUCACUACAUUUCUAAUACGAAUGCGAGGAUCUCGUUAAUCUUGAUCUCGUCGAGUAGGCUUACGAGGGUCCUAACGGAAAGGUAUGGUUUCAAAAUCAAGACGCGAAGGGUAUAAUGUACGUUACUGAGUUUGCGGAGUAGGUCUAGUUUUCGAGGUACAGGACCGAUUCUGUUAAGAAUCUCGGAGGUCCUAACUAUAUUUGAUUUAGCUUUCCACGCUUUACGAAGCAUAUUAAGCCAUUCCCAGAGUGAGAUUUCUUAAGGAAUUUGGUCUCUCACUUGGAAUUCCAAAAGUUCUUUCUCUUGCUAAACUUCCCAGUCAAGGGCCACCCCUUGUUGGGUUAAAUUUGAAAGGGUUUCUGUGAUUUGUGAGGAGUUCUGGAUGAUCUAUGACAGUAGGUUUGUAAGACCUAGAAUUUGGUGAAUUCCUGUCGGCGUCCCUGGUGUCGUCAAAUUCUCAACGGUUUUGUUAAAUUGACAGAGUACUAAAGAAUUUCCAUAUCACUAAUAGCGUGUCUUAGGAAAUUUUGACUCUUCAAUUCCAAACUCGUGUUCAGAGAACUUUGUGAAAAGUAUCUCUGAGGGUAAUGUUUCAGCGGGUUCCUUCUUACUACGAGGGUAGAUAAGUAAGUUGUUACACGGAGAAUGACGAACUGGUCCAAGUAAGAAAGACGGACUCUAAUCAUUAAACUCAUGAAUGCUUCGGGCGUAUUGGUCCUAUACGAGGGGUAUCACUACGGACUCGAAGUGUCCGCAUCGAGUUCGAAAGGUAGUCUUAGGGACAUGCUUCCCUCACACUAAAACUGGUGAUAUUUGGAUCUCAGGUCCAUCCCUGAGAGUAAUUCUUUCCUUGCGUUUGCUCAACCGCUUCAUCUAUGCGAGGCAGAGACAAUAAUUUCCAAUGGAAAAUCUUGAUAGAGUCCUCGAUAGCCGAGGUACAUAUGAUGCAAUCCGUCGAUCUCUGAAAGAAUAUGACCGGGGCUCUCCGGAGUGAGAAGCCUAGUCUUCUAAUUCUAUUUUUGUGUAGUUCGCUAAGUUGUCCGGGUUGUUCUUGUAUCUCUGUAGUUGUUUAGACUGUAGGGCAAUCCGUUUACAAGAUUCAUACUGGGUUCUAGGUUUGUUCACAUGACGAUGCGAUUACUCGUAGACUUAGGCAGUUCUCCGUCUUGAAGUUCAUAUUAGAAUUCAUACAUGGUUUCACAAUCAGAAUCUCGUGUAUAUGAGUCGUAUAUAAUUAAGAUUGAAAAGGUAGUCGAAUAACUGAUUCUUCUUUAAGCUCACAUCCCAUCGAGGAAAAGAAGUUAAAGUGGAAUCAUCAAUUCUAAACCUGUAGAACCUUGAUUAUAUAUCACUCUUAUGUAUACAUUCCUCAGUGAUAGAUCAACCGUAUGAAUUCUUGGAUUGAACUUGACGUACUGCACGAGUGGUACUUCGGGGAUUUCUUCGGAAAGAAAAGAACUAUGAGGUACUCCAUGCAUGAGCACUUCGGUGUUCUGAUAUAACAGCUUCACUAAAACGACGUUUAUUGGUAAAGAGAUGUACUUAAGAAGCUGGUAUGGUGUGGAUCAAACUGAAUCUAUUUGUAUGAUAAUGUCGGAAUCAUAUGGAAACUUAAAGACAUUAGAUUUGAACAUAAGGCGUUUACAGACAAAACACAACCGUGCAACCAUCAACAGAGUUACAUUAUUUUAGACUACUACAAGAUCAUUGCUGCGAAUGAGGUAUACUACAAAAGACAAGUAUACACAGCACGAGCAUCCUUAUACCGACAGGAUCUCACAAAAAGGUAAGACACUAGUUGCACUUGUUCUGGAUAGUUUAUAAGUCUGUUACAACAACACGCCUAGAUUACAUUAACGAGGGUCCGACGUAGUUUCUCCUGCAGCUGUGAUCCUAAGAAUCUUCCCAUCAGCACCCGAGUUCUUAGCUAUCGGGCAAUCCUUCUUGAGGUGUCCAAUCUCACCGCAUUGGUGACAUAUCUGGACAGCACCAACAUUGGUGGUGGAAGUGAGGUGUUUAGUCAGUGUUAUGUGGACACGAGUGCAUUCCUCAUUAUUCCACCUUGGAAAUUGCUUCCUAAAGCGUUUGGCUUUAUCACUACUCUUGUGUGUAGGGCUGGUCCCGAUGAUAGGAACUUGAGUGAUGGGUCGUGUCGGUGCUCCACAGCUACGAGCAUGGUGCCCUAUUCUUAGGCAAUUGCAACAUUGCAUCUCAUGGCAAGCCCCUUGAUGAUGGAAACUACACUUAUCACACUUCGGGAGUUUUCCCUCGUAUGGCCUGCUCGAUACGGGGAUGGCAGGGGUUUCCACUUGUUGUUGUUGCAUGGCAAGUUUUUGGGAUUUCUUGCGUUCUUUCUGGGCUUGGCACUUUCGUUUCUUGUUCCCUGUUUUUCGGCUUUGCGAGCCUGUGGCUGUUACCGUUUGAUGACUUCCUGGAUGGAUACCCUGAUUGGAAACUUCAACCCCAUCAUCAUCAUUGAUUGUGCUGAUAGCGCUACGGUGCGCAAGGACAUCGGUUACGGCAGCCAUCAUGGCAGUUGUAACUGCAGUUUGGAAGGUAGCGGCGUCCAUAGGAAAGGUAGAGGUUUCGUUGUUCGACUGAUUGUUUCCGGAUGACGACAUGAUUCUAUAACACAAAAGAUAAGGAUUUUGUGAGCGAUUUUGGCUGACCCUAGAUAUACUUUGAUUGCUCAAUCAAAGAGUAAGAGUAUGUUCUCGAAAGUUUGACAUACAUCCCUAUGAUGCAUUCCUAGUACAGAUUGGAGGUAUGUUCACGAAGGUUUGACCUACAUCCCUAUGAUGCAUUCCUAGUAAUGGGUAGAUGUAAGUUCGUAGAAUGGUCUCAAGACGGUUGUCGUUCAAGCCGAGGUAUCGAUGGUUGGUGAAUAACAUGAUCCAACCACUAAAAGAGACUUGGAAAUGUCUCCGGAGUUAAAUUACUAUAGUCCAAUGACUUGACUAAAGCAUGUUUCAGAUAGACUCCAAUGAAAGAAUGAUAAGAGUACUUGAAUAAAGAAUGACACAGAAGUUAGCCGACUGUCAAUAGCUUUGAUAUUCAUGACUUACAAGUUCGGGAAAAUGACUUUGUAAAAGGUCUUACAUCAUAUCCAGAGAAGAUAGUCCUUGAUAACAUAAAGACUUAACGAAAACUACUUACAGUACAAGAUAGUUUCAUAGAAAAUGCCACAUCGGGCAUAGACAUAAAUCGAUUCUUUUCUAACAAGGAAAGUAAAGUAAGGCAUCUACUACUGGCGACAGUCAUCCCUCUGGUGAACUCUCAGUUCCGUCAGUUGACGUUCCACAUCAAGUAGAUGUCUUUCGUACACUCUUUGGCGUACUCGGAGCUCUAUGACUUCGACUCGUGAUUCAGCGAAUGCUUGAAGCAGGGUUUCAUGGUUUCUCUCAUAUCUCUCACGAGCAUCUUCUAGACGAAUGGUGCGGAGGGUAUGCAUUCUCGUAUCAGCGACAACUUCGGUGAUCUGAUGUAGGGCUGUCCUGCCUUGAAUCUCAUUUCGGCCACUCUGCGGACCAAGAUUGGCAAGACNCCCAUUGCUCUUCGUAAAAGCUUUGAUCACCAUUAAAUGGCAUGGGCUGAUCUUGACCUUGGCUCCAUGUUUCCAAGCAUUCCACCCACUCAGGCGUCGGGCCGUGAAAAGCCAGACGAGGGUUAGGAAUUGGAAAGGGAGCUACUCGGAGUAGGUUCUUAACCUUAGGUUCGGAGUUAGCAUCGUCCGAAAGGUCUUCAUCAUGGUGAUCAUUCAAAGGGAUAGGAUGAUCAUUCUUUGGUUCUUCUUCAAACCAUCCAGCAAUGACCUCAUUCGGAAGGUACUGGUUGCUGUGGGGAUGGAGUCCAGCCAUGUUAUCUACGCGAGAAUUGGGGUAAGAAAAUAAUUAUUAGACGAACUAUCUAGAUAAUUAUUUAGAAAAUCUUCAUUAGUUACAUCGCUAUUUGUGAAGUGCAUACCAGUUAUAUGUAAUCGAAACAGGAUAGGCCUUCGAAUAAGCGACCUUAACUCCAAAUUCACACAGAAUAGGGGUAAAGUAAAUUUUUCACAGAUUUUAAGUCUAUAACAUCCUAAUUACAUAUUGCCUUACUGUAUCCAAUUAGCAACUAUCAACUUAGUAAUGAAGAUCCUGUUUUAGUUCUCAAGUAUAAAGCACUUAUAGUAACACCAAAUACUCCUAUAGUAUUUUAAGUUUAAUGUUAUGUUCUACUGUUCUCAUUGUGGUAGGGUUGGUAAGAUUUUUAGACUUGUUGCAACCACACAACUACACUUAGGCACAUGCUAGUCAACCCUCAGAUAAUAUAGUUGAUCAAGCUAUAUCUUCCCAGUUUUGACUAUAUGUCUCUAAGUCCACCUAUGUUGCCCAACAAUCGUAAUUCUUUUGUAUUGUCCUAGUGACACUGAUUUUAGUAUGAAUGCAACACGUAUACUUAAUUAAAUAUUUUAUUAUUUAAAGUAUAAACUCUAGGUCAGAGUAUUUUUAAUCCCAUUGUAUUUAUAGUCUGUAUAUCUUUUAUAGGUUGAUAUACUUAAUUCACUAUAAACAAUGCUCUGAUACCAAUCUGUCACACCCCAAAACCGAUAACGGCGGAAACGUUCUGGGGUGGAGGAUGUCAUGUUCAGUAUCACAACAAUGAAAAUUAGUAAACAAGCAACAACAUCAUCCAUUGCAUUAAUAAUAUAAUUUUAAUACAAGUGUGUUCUGUUAAAUUAUAAUAACACUAAAGAAUAAGUCAAAAUGAAAGAUGCGUCUUGAACGAGCACCAUCUUCUCUGAACCUUGCAUCGGUACCUGUCUAUGCUUGACCUGAGGAUACAAGUUAUUUUGAAAGAGAGUAUCAGCUUUAAAGCUGGUGAGAUCAUAAGUAUUUUAGUGUCUUAAUUUAUAUGUAUAUGAAUUGUAAGUAUUGAAAAUGUAUUUGAAUCGUAAGUAUUGAAAAUGUAUGUAAAAAAACUGUAAACGUUUGAAAAACUCUAGAAAUCCCUAUGAUUCCUACUAUUAUAUAAGGGUGUCUUCUACCAAGACAUAACUGCUCUGAAUGCAGUCUUCUACCAUCACUUAACUGUUCUAAUUGUUCGUUUCUGGUAAAAGUGUGUAAUUUUCCCAAGUGUAACUAUCAUUAACAAAAUAUAGUUUUUUUCAUUUAAUGUUUAAGUGAAAAGAUCACUAAAUAUAUGUAACGGGAAAAUUAAUGUAGUAUUGUAGUGUAGUGCUAUAAGAACUACUGAUAUACUACCUACCUUAAACCGGAUUUAUAUUAAGGCAUCAUGUGAUUAAUUGUACCAUACUAUCGACUGGGUAACAACGACAAAUGUAGGUCGUAAAAAGGUAUGACGUUUGGCACCCGCAGACCUGCAGGUCCGGCUGUAGCUAGCAGCAAGGUGUAGUAUAGUCAAUCCAGUAUAGAUCUAUACGCAAACUCACGCUCUCCCUCCAAGAGACUCUGGCUACAACUCGGGCCAUGACAUUGAAGGCAUGCUCCGAUACAGUGGAUCACAAUUAUGUCAACAUAUUCAUGUAUAUGUAAUGUACUGAACUGUUCUACAUGUGCUAGCUGUAAUGUGUGUUCUCUCUCUAUCUAGCAUGAAUAGUAAUGUACUGAAAUGUUCUAGCUGUAAUGUAUGUUCUCUCUAUCUAGCAAGUAUUGAUUCAUGAAUGAACUGAUUCAUGAACAGCUAAAAGUGUAGUAAAUGCAUUUGAAUGCUGCUUAUUAAUCACAUGUGAUUGAUAUAAUAAUUAGCAUAAUUCUACUUGUAUCCCCCCCCCCCAAAUAAAACAUUUAAAAACAGUUAAAACAUUGAUUAAGGGGUAUGAACUCACCUGUUGUGGGUGACACGGAUAAACUGAAGAGGUAGGACUGCUAGGUGUCAAGUGAAGACUUUAUACACACACAAUGGUCCUAAUUACAUAUGAAGACAUAUGUAUAUAAACAAUUAGUGAUUAAAACACUAAUUAACCAUGUAUAAAUAUCCUAAUGCGCGGAAAACACUUUGGUCAAGUGUUAGGAGGCUAUCGGGUUGCAACAAGAGAGUGCAAGACCUCAUACAUGAGUUUAUAGUCUAAAGAUGAUGUGUGAUGGAGUUUACGGCCCAGGGGAGUAAACUCCUGGCCGUAAACUCUCUAUUGGGUCACUAAAUGAAGCUU